rnacentral:rRNA from 1 species
CUACGGGGGGCACCAGUGGGGAAUAUUGCACAAUGGGGGAAACCCUGAUGCAGCAACGCCGCGUGGAGGAUGACGCAUUUCGGUGUGUAAACUCCUUUUAUAUAGGAAGAUAAUGACGGUACUAUAUGAAUAAGCACCGGCUAACUCCGUGCCAGCAGCCGCGGUAAUACGGAGGGUGCAAGCGUUACUCGGAAUCACUGGGCGUAAAGCGCGCGCAGGCGGCCCCUUAAGUUGGAUGUGAAAGCCUACGGCUUAACCGUAGAACUGCAUCCAAAACUGAGGGGCUAGAGUCUGGGAGGGGAAGAUGGAAUUAGUUGUGUAGGGGUAAAAUCCGUAGAGAUAACUAGGAAUACCAAAAGCGAAGGCGAUCUUCUGGAACAGUACUGACGCUGAGGCGCGAAGGCGUGGGGAGCAAACAGGAUUAGAUACCCCAGUAGUC